rnacentral:ncRNA from 24 species
UAAAAGCAUGACGGGUGUCCAUCUCCUCAAUUGUUUCAUCCGGCUCAGCUCAACUCUGAGGGUUAUGGUCUCACGACUAUUCCUUCGUCGCGAGCCAGAGCUGGAUGAGGCAAUUGAAGACUUGGUUCUGAGAUUAUACCGUAUGAACUUGAUCUAGACAAUUCUAGCGCAGAAGGACAUGCUUCCCCCUCCCC